GAUGAACGCUGGCGGCGUGCCUAAUACAUGCAAGUCGAGCGAACUGAUUAGAAGCUUGCUUCUAUGACGUUAGCGGCGGACGGGUGAGUAACACGUGGGCAACCUGCCUGUAAGACUGGGAUAACUUCGGGAAACCGAAGCUAAUACCGGAUAGGAUCUUCUCCUUCAUGGGAGAUGAUUGAAAGAUGGUUUCGGCUAUCACUUACAGAUGGGCCCGCGGUGCAUUAGCUAGUUGGUGAGGUAACGGCUCACCAAGGCAACGAUGCAUAGCCGAGCUGAGAGGGUGGUCGGCCACACGGGGACUGAGACACGGCCCAGACUCCUACGGGAGGCAGCAGUAGGGAAUCUUCCGCAAUGGACGAAAGUCUGACGGAGCAACGCCGCGUGAGUGAUGAAGGCUUUCGGGUCGUAAAACUCUGUUGUUAGGGAAGAACAAGUACAAGAGUAACUGCUUGUACCUUGACGGUACCUAACCAGAAAGCCACGGCUAACUACGUGCCAGCAGCCGCAGUAAGAC
rnacentral:rRNA from 1 species